GGCGUGCUUAACACAUGCAAGUCGAACGGAAAGGCCCUGCUUUUGUGGGGUGCUCGAGUGGCGAACGGGUGAGUAACACGUGAGUAACCUGCCCUUGACUUUGGGAUAACUUCAGGAAACUGGGGCUAAUACCGGAUAGGAGCUCCUGCUGCAUGGUGGGGGUUGGAAAGUUUCGGCGGUUGGGGAUGGACUCGCGGCUUAUCAGCUUGUUGGUGGGGUAGUGGCUUACCAAGGCUUUGACGGGUAGCCGGCCUGAGAGGGUGACCGGCCACAUUGGGACUGAGAUACGGCCCAGACUCCUACGGGAGGCAGCAGUGGGGAAUAUUGCACAAUGGGCGGAAGCCUGAUGCAGCAACGCCGCGUGCGGGAUGACGGCCUUCGGGUUGUAAACCGCUUUCGCCUGUGACGAAGCGUGAGUGACGGUAAUGGGUAAAGAAGCACCGGCUAACUACGUGCCAGCAGCCGCGGUGAUACGUAGGGUGCGAGCGUUGUCCGGAUUUAUUGGGCGUAAAGGGCUCGUAGGUGGUUGAUCGCGUCGGAAGUGUAAUCUUGGGGCUUAACCCUGAGCGUGCUUUCGAUACGGGUUGACUUGAGGAAGGUAGGGGAGAAUGGAAUUCCUGGUGGAGCGGUGGAAUGCGCAGAUAUCAGGAGGAACACCAGUGGCGAAGGCGGUUCUCUGGGCCUUUCCUGACGCUGAGGAGCGAAAGCGUGGGGAGCGAACAGGCUUAGAUACCCUGGUAGUCCACGCUGUAAACGGUGGGUACUAGGUGUGGGGUCCAUUCCACGGGUUCCGUGCCGUAGCUAACGCUUUAAGUACCCCGCCUGGGGAGUACGGCCGCAAGGCUAAAACUCAAAGGAAUUGACGGGGCCCCGCACAAGCGGCGGAGCAUGCGGAUUAAUUCGAUGCAACGCGUAGAACCUUACCUGGGUUUGACAUGGAUCGGGAGUGCUCAGAGAUGGGUGUGCCUCUUUUGGGGUCGGUUCACAGGUGGUGCAUGGCUGUCGUCAGCUCGUGUCGUGAGAUGUUGGGUUAAGUCCCGCAACGAGCGCAACCCUUGUUCACUGUUGCCAGCACGUUAUGGUGGGGACUCAGUGGAGACCGCCGGGGUCAACUCGGAGGAAGGUGGGGAUGACGUCAAGUCAUCAUGCCCCUUAUGUCCAGGGCUUCACGCAUGCUACAAUGGCUGGUACAGAGAGUGGCGAGCCUGUGAGGGUGAGCGAAUCUCGGAAAGCCGGUCUCAGUUCGGAUUGGGGUCUGCAACUCGACCUCAUGAAGUCGGAGUCGCUAGUAAUCGCAGAUCAGCAACGCUGCGGUGAAUACGUUCCCGGGGCUUGUACACACCGCCCGUCAAGCCAUGAAAGUUGGUAACACCCGAAGCCGGUGGCCUAACCAUUGUGGGGGAGCCGUCGAAGGUGGGACUGGU
rnacentral:rRNA from 1 species